CCUACGGGGGGCUGCAGUGGGGAAUAUUGGACAAUGGGGGGAACCCUGAUCCAGCCAUGCCGCGUGUGUGAAGAAGGCCCUCGGGUUGUAAAGCACUUUCAGUGAGGAAGAACGCCUGGUGGUUAAUACCCAUCAGGAAAGACAUCACUCACAGAAGAAGCACCGGCUAACUCCGUGCCAGCAGCCGCGGUAAUACGGAGGGUGCGAGCGUUAAUCGGAAUUACUGGGCGUAAAGCGCGCGUAGGUGGCUUGAUAAGCCGGUUGUGAAAGCCCCGGGCUCAACCUGGGAACGGCAUCCGGAACUGUCAAGCUAGAGUGCAGGAGAGGAAGGUAGAAGUCCCGGUGUAGCGGUGAAAUGCGUAGAGAUCGGGAGGAAUACCAGUGGCGAAGGCGGACUUCUGGACUGACACUGACACUGAGGUGCGAAAGCGUGGGUAGCAAACAGGAUUAGAUACCCCUGUAGUC
rnacentral:rRNA from 1 species